rnacentral:rRNA from 1 species
CGUCAAGUCAUCAUGGCCCUUAUGUCCAGGGCUACACACGUGCUACAAUGGUUGGUACAGAGGGCAGCGAGUCUGAAAGGAUGAGCGAAUCCCAAAAAACCGGCCUCAGUACAGAUAGGAGUCUGCAACUCGACUUCUUGAAGGUGGAAUCGCUAGUAAUCGCUGAUCAGCAGGCAGCGGUGAAUACGUUCCCGGGCCUU